GGGACCAUGGGCGGCUUAUGUUCCACGAUUUUGAGGCCAUUUGCAGCGAGCUCCGCCAGCCUGCCCCUCCCCUGCAGCCGCCACCACCGGCACAGCACCGCCACCAGUGUCUUCGGGGCUUUCUUCAGAGGAGACUGUCAGCAUCCUCAAGUUCCAGGUGCUCUGGCCCCAGUCCUGCUUCUUGACGCUUUUUGCCAGGGGCUGCCUCCCCUUCUCAAUGGCCUGAACCUUGGCCAGUUCCCACAAAGUUUGACGGGAACACAAGGCUGUCACUGACAUUUGUGGCACUAUAACUUACAGGCACGCGUGUUGCACACAUCGGACACUGUGCCACAUGCAGUGACACCAUCUGAGGUGCGCACGCCGCACGCGCACCCCGCACGCGCACGCCGCACCGUCUUGGCUUGGCGUUCUGCACACGCGUGUGUAACGGCUUGGGUUGGCGUUCCUCGCUUGGCUUGGUGUUGGUCGCUUGACUUGACGUUCCUUGCUUGGCUUGGCAUUGGUCGCUUUGCUUCCUGGUCCUUGCGUGGAUUGGCGUUUCCUCCCUCGGCAUUCCUUUGCUGGGCUUGACCUUUCCUUGGCUGGGCUUGGCAUUCCCCUGGCUGGGCUGGGUGUUUCCUUGGCGGGUGGGUGGAGGGGCUUGGCCUUUCCCCGGGUGGGUGUGGGCUUUCCCCCGGGGUGGGAGUGGGAUUUUCCCAGGUGGGUGUGGCCUUGCAAAUACUGCUGGGCUUGGCCUCUCCUCGCCUGGGCUGGGCUCCACUGCUUUGGUGGGUUUUGGCUGUGCUUGACCUUUCUCCUGUAACAGAUUGGAAACCUAGAGUAUCUUGCUUGUUGGUGAAAUUUGUUGGCAGAGGUGAUUGGCUGGCUACUACCUGGCUCCCCAGGCUGGUAAAAGAGGAUGGGGGCUGAGGUUUCUUCAAAGCCGGCUGCCUCUACUAUGAAGAAGCCUUUUGGCCUCAGCAGCAAGAUGGGCAAGUGGUGCUGCCACUGCUUCCCCUCCUGCAGGGGGAGUAGCAAGAACAACGUAGACUCUGGGGGAGACCACGACGACAUCGCCUUUUUGGAGCCAAGGACUGCUCUACAUUUGGCCUGUGGGAAUUCAGAAGUAGUAAAACUCCUGCUGGAUAGAAAAUGUCAACUUCAUGUCUUUGACAGCAAAAAGAGGACAGCUCUAAUAAAGGGUGGCCUCACACCACUUUUACUCGGUGUAUAUGGACAGAAACAGCAAAUGGUGGAAUUUUUAAUCAAGAAAAAAGCUAAUUUAAAUGCACUUGAUAGGUUUGGAAGGUAUAGUUAUUUUAUCUCUGUGUUGUUCUGGAGUGAUAAGUCAUUCAAGUCAUAAAUAUUAAAUUAAUAAAAUUAACUUAUACUUAUUGGAACAUGGUGAUCGGUAUCAAUACAAAUCAGUUACGGAGAAAUACAGUCAUUUGAACUAGGCAACAUAAAUAACAGUUUUAGUAGGGUUCAUCUUCUCUUAUUAUAUUGACUGAUGUUAUUUGUUAUGUGACGUUUUCGGUUAUAUGAUCUUAUGUUAGCUAAAGGGAUUUCAUAUUAGUUUCAUGAAGUGCAAACUUUAGCUUUUAGUUUUUGACUCAGUGUUGAACUUCUUAACCCUUUCUAUAGUUUUUAACCUCUACUUCUUGUAUGCUUUUCCAUUAAAUAUGCUAUAUUAAACAUAAACAGGAGUUGAAAAUCAUUUUGUCUUUUGAAUGACUGCUUUAAGUUGCUUCCUUUGAAGAAUAUUAAUGUUAGCUUAUCCCUACAUGAUGAUUAAUUGCUAUUCCCAAAUACUGUGGGUUCAUUAGCUUUUUUUCCUUCUUUAUUUCCAGUAUAUUUUGAUGUUUUUUUAAUUGGUAUGGAGAGAGGGAGUUAAGAUAGUUUUAAGUGGAUAACAUACACUUCCUUUAAUGAAGGCAAGCUGUAGGUGGGUGA
rnacentral:lncRNA from 1 species